CUCUGAAGUAGUCUUAGCGACAGGAACACUCAGAAGUAAAUGAAAAGGAGUAAGAGGCAUGCAAAUUGGCAGCAGAGGCUCAGUGGAUGCCAGGCAGCAUGACUUGGAAGUAUAUCAGCCCUGUAAGGUUCUGUGACCCAUCCUAUCAGCAGGGAAAAUAAGAAAUACAUCAUAAUUUCUGCCUAUUACGUGCUGGGAGGGCCUCCAGGGUAGAGUACAAUCGGUCUUGUAAUUGAGGCUGAAAGGAUUACCAUUUUUAAAUCAAGGACAAGAGGGAUGUGCAUUGUGAAAUGAGGAGGUCAUCUGUGAGAUAAACUCCCUUUUUAUUGUGGUAUAAUCUCUAAGAGUCCAUACUAGUUUGUCAGUGAUCACAGAUCUAGGGAGCCUUAUUGUAUUCAUAUUUAGUAGAGAUGGACCAAUCAGCAGCAAGGUCUUGAUUUUUUUCAUACAAACUGUAACUAUUUGGAAGAUAAAAGCAAGAAACAGAAGUUGAAUCACAGCUUCUCUGCAAAAAUGGACACUUUCUCUCUGCUCAAUUGCAUUUUGUGAAAUGCCCUUUAGUUGAAGAUGCUCUUAUUUUUGCUGCUGCAUUUUUUAAAUGAAAGCUCAUUAUCUGAAGGACCAUUAACCUUCAGCACCAUUGACAUAAAUAUGAUACAUUCUCUAUAUUAAAUACAAAGUGUUCAGCAGCUCAAGGACUGACCCAUCAGCACGACAUUCAAGAGAUGACCACAGUGAGAUACUCAGGCAUAAGGUUGGGACUAUUACAUUCUUGCUAUUCAUGUGUUUUGAAGCACUGUUACAGAAAGUGGGCUCGAUGUCUAUUCACAAGCUGAUAUGGCCAUGGAUCUUCAGUAAUUAGGAGCAUCUUGAAGAGUACAAAGGUCAUCAGAGAUAAAAACAAAUGAAAGUAGAGAAAGAUAAGCACCCUUGG
rnacentral:lncRNA from 1 species